rnacentral:rRNA from 1 species
GACGAAGGAUGCAAGCGUUAUCCGGAUUCAUUGGGUUUAAAGGGUGCGUAGGAGGGCAGGUAAGUCAGUGGUGAAAUCUCCGAGCUUAACUUGGAAACUGCCGUUGAUACUAUCUGUCUUGAAUAUUGUGGAGGUGAGCGGAAUAUGUCAUGUAGCGGUGAAAUGCUUAGAUAUGACAUAGAACACCAAUUGCGAAGGCAGCUCGCUACACAUAUAUUGACUCUGAGGCACGAAAGCGUGGGGAUCAAACAGG